GUUUCAAGAAGUUAAGACAGAGUUAAGGAAGAUAACUGGAGAUGUGAUAAAGAUACCAGAAGACUGAGAAGAACCUGCCCCUCAUUAGAAAGAUGAUGGAGACCACAUUUCCCCUACGCCGACAGACCAUAGUGAUGUCCUGCCCACCAGUGAAUGAGCUCAUGGACCUCUGGCCUGCUCUCAAAAUAGAGUCUGAGUUGUAUGCAGAGUUCCAGUGGAUUACGAAUCAUAACCUGCACAACACAUUCUAUGCUGAGCUUGACCGCCAUCUUCCUCGACUGAUGACCUUAUUCAGACAGAAG